CUUUUUGGUAGGGAGUGUGUGGAGUGGUGUGUGGGGAUCAUAGCUACAGCAUCAAGGGUAAAUCUCUGUACUGAAGGGAACAACCUGUAUAUGGCAUACCUCUCACGUUGGUGUUUUCUGUGCAUCUUGGAGAUGCUGUUAGAGCUACUGAAGCUGCUGAUCCAUGUUGCAUUUCCCAUUAUGAAACAACUGCUUUACACCAGAGCUACCAGUUUUAUGCUACUGGAGGAGACAGAAUUUGCUCUUAAGUAGGACUAAAUCAUAGAACAUCUCAAAUUGGAUGACCCACAAGGAUCAACAAGUCUUGGCUUCACACAGCACCACCCAAAAUCCAAACCAUGUGUCUGAGAGCAUUGUCCAAAUGCUGCUUGAACUCCAGCAGCUGGUUCAUAAGAGUCACUGUCACUGCUCAGUUAUGGAAAUACAGCUCUGGUAGCUCUAGUUUGCUUUGCUGCGACCCUACUUACUGCUUAUGGACAGCUUGAUAUGGUAUAUUGAAGUCUGUUCUGUAAAGCAAAAAGCUUGGUAGGUAUUUGUGGGCUUACAGUGGAGUGAUUCUUUGCUAAGACUCAUCAGUUCUGCUUGCCAAGUCUGGCUUUGAAACAAAGCUUAUUAAUAUGAAGUAAUUUACGGUGCAUCCAGCAUUGCCAGUUGUUCCAAAAUAUGCAAUACCUUUUCUCUUUAAACAAGUCCAUGAGAUACUACAGAGAUUGCUGCUGUUACAAGCCAGGUCCUCACUUGCUGUAAAUUACUGAAGUUAAUAGAGCAAUACCAAUUUCUUCAAGCUGCACAGAAACGACGAAAAUACAAUUUUCCAACAGAAACUGCUUAUUCAACAAGAUCAAAACAUUUUGUGAAACAUUCAGACUUCAAUCAAACUCUAUUUAUAAAAGAAAUCAAAAUGAAGUAGCUUUACCUAAUUAAAAUAUAGCUUUUGGAUUUUUUUUCUUUGAAAUUUAAAUGAGAGGUUACAAUAUAAUAUUUUAAAAGAUGUUCUGUUUUAAUUGAUUAAAUAAAGUCUUUGC
ensembl:lncRNA